rnacentral:rRNA from 1 species
AGCGAACGCUGGCGGCAGGCUUAACACAUGCAAGUCGAACGGGCGUAGCAAUACGUCAGUGGCAGACGGGUGAGUAACACGUGGGAACAUCCCCCUUGGUUCGGAAUAACUCAGUGAAACUUGAGCUAAUACCGGAUAAGUCCGAGAGGAGAAAGAUUCAUCGCCGAGGGAUUGGCCCGCGUCUGAUUAGCUAGUUGGUGAGGUAAUGGCUCACCAAGGCGACGAUCAGUAGCUGGUCUGAGAGGAUGAUCAGCCACACUGGGACUGAGACACGGCCCAGACUCCUACGGGAGGCAGCAGUGGGGAAUAUUGGACAAUGGGCGAAAGCCUGAUCCAGCCAUGCCGCGUGAGUGAUGAAGGCCUUAGGGUUGUAAAGCUCUUUUGUCCGGGAAGAUAAUGACUGUACCGGAAGAAUAAGCCCCGGCUAACUUCGUGCCAGCCGCCGCAGUAAGAC